UACGUAGGGAGCAAGCGUUGUCCGGAAUCAUUGGGCGUAAAGCGCGCGUAGGUGGCCCCAUAAGUCCGCUGUGAAAGUCAAAGGCUCAACCUUUGAAAGCCGGUGGAUACUGUGGGACUAGAGUACGGAAGAGGCGAGUGGAAUUCCUGGUGUAGCGGUGGAAUGCGCAGAUAUCAGGAGGAACACCGGUGGCGAAGGCGGCGACCUGGUCCUAUACUGACACUCAUACACGAAAGCGUGGGGAUCAAACAGG
rnacentral:rRNA from 1 species